ensembl:lncRNA
AUGGGUUUCAGUAGGCUGUUAGGGGCAUCAGAGAACUCGGCAUUAAGGACCUCGAAAAAACAGAAACUAGCAAAGCAUGCUGACAGAUUAAUAAAAGUUCUCAAAAUGUGCUUGUUUCACCUUUGCCCUUGCAACAUGACUGUAAUUUUCCUGAGGCCUCUCCAGCCAUGCUUCCUGUACAUUCUGCAGAACUGUGAGUUAGUUAAAUCUCUUUUCUUCAUAAAUUGUGCAGUCUCAGUAUGUCUUUAUAGCAGUGUGAGAAUGAGGUAAUAUAGAAAAUUGAUACUAGAAUUGAUAAAAUUUGCUAGUAAAAAUAUAUGGGCCCAUGCUCUAUAUUUCAUAUUAUUAAUUAUUGAUUCAAUUUAUUUAAUAAUUAUCCUAUUAAGAUUAUCUAUUUCUCUUGUGGGAGUUUUGAUAGAGUGGUUGAAGAAAUUGGUGCAUUUCAUCUAUGUUAUGCUAUUUAUGAUAUUUGUGAGAUAGAGUUGUUCACAGUAUUUCCUAUUAUCUUUUAAUAUAAUGAAUUCAGUAGUGAUGACCACUCUUUCAUUUCUAAUAUUUGUAAUUUGUGUCUUCUCACUUUUGUUUGGUUAGCCUGGCUAGAGUUUUAACAAUUUAAUUUUAAAAAAAAGACCCUCAAAACAAUUUAUCAAUAUAUUUCAAAGAUACUAGUGAGGUUUCAUUGUUUUUCUCCAUUGAUUUCUUGUUUUUAAUUUUAUUGAUUUUGUUUUAAUUAUUUCUUCUGCGUUUCUUUUAAUUGCUUUAGCACUACAUUCUCUUCUUUAGUUUCCUUAGAAGGAAGCUGUAUUAUUUAUUUUAGAGUUUUUGCUUUUUCUCAUAUGUGUAUUUAGUGGCAUAAGUGUUUCUUUAAGCACAACUUUCACUGUUUUAACUAAUUUUAGUAAUUUCUAUUUUUUUAUUUAGUACAAUAUUUUAAAAAUUUAUUUGAGAAAAUUUUUUACUCAUUUUCAUAUAAAGUAUAUUGUUUUAUCCUCAAAUAUUUGGCAAUCUUCCAACUAUUACUAUUUUACUGAUUUAUGGUUGAAUUCCUUUGUGGUUUCAGAGCACAAAGGAAUUGUAUAAUUUCUAUUAUUUCAAUUUGUUAAGGUGUGUCUUAUGUCUCAGAAUGUAAUUUAUCUUGGUCAAUUUCCAUGUGAGACAGUGAAGAAUGUGUAUUCCGUUAUUGUUUUAUGGAGUACAUUAUAAAUGUCAAUUAUAUCAAGUUGAUUGAUAAUGGUCUUCAGGUCAACUUUACCCUUAAUGGUUUUCUACCUUCUUGAUCUGCCAAUUGCUGAAAGAGGAGUGUUAUGGUCUUCUUCAACUACAAUAGUAAAUUUUUCUACGUCUGUGUUCAAUUCUAUCAAUUUUUGUCUUUUGAUAACCCUAAGGAAUAGAGAGUCUGUCUCUUGCAGUUUUUUCAGCUAUAAUCCAUUUUUAUUAUACAUUAGGUGAUGGUAAGUAUUAGGUAGUGAGGAAAAGCACAAUCUUAUGAUUAAAGCUCAAUCCUUUAGUGUUUUGUGUCCUGGGGCUGUUUCUCACAACAGGCUUUGUUGUUGUUGUUGUAGUUUGUUUGUUUGUUUUAACUUUCCCCUCCUCCACCACCAUACACACCCUUAAGUUAGACAAGAAGACAAGAAGGCGCUAGAAGUUGCUUAUCAGUUUCAGGAGAUUUUUGGGCUGAGACAAUGGGGAAUUCUAAAUAUACAAUCAUGUCAUCUGCAAAUAGAGACAAUUUGGCUUCCUCCUUUCCUAUUUGAAUACCCUUUAUUUCUUUUCCUUUCCUGAUUGCUCUGGCUAGAACUUCCAGUACUAUAUUGAAUAGGAGUAGUGAGAAAGGGCAUCCUUGUCUAGUGCCAGAUUUCAAAGGGAAUGCUUCCAGUUUUUGCCCAUUCAGUAUGAUAUUGGCUGUUGGUUUGGCAUAAAUAGCUUUUAUUAUUUUGAGAUAAGUUCCAUCAAUACCUAGUUUAUUGAGAGUUUUUAGCAUAAAUGGCUGUUGAAUUUUUGUCAGAGGCCUUCUCUGCAUCUAGAUAAUCAUGUGGUUCUGUUUAUGUGGUGAAUUACAUUUAUACACUUGCGUAUGUUGAACCAGCCUUGCAUCCCUGGGAUGAAUCCUACUUGAUCAUGGUGGAUAAGCUUUUUGAUGUGCUGUUACAAUCGGCUUGCCAGUAUUUUAUUGAAGAUUUUUGCAUCUAUGUUCAUCAUGGAUAUUGGCCUGAAGUUUUCUUUUCUUACUGAGUCUCUGCCGGGUUUUGGUAUCAGGAUGAUGUUGGUCUCAUAAAAUGAUUUGGGAAGGAUUUCCCCUUUUUGGAUUGUCUGGAAUAGUUUCAUAAGGAAUGGUACUAGCUCCUCCUUGUAUGUCUGGUAGAAUUUGGCUGUGAACCCAUCUGGACCUGGGCUUUUUUUGGGUGGUAGGCUCUUAAUUGCUGCCUCAACUUCUGUCCUUGUUAUUGGUCUAUUCAGGAUUUUGACUUCUUCCUGGUUUAGGCUUGAAGGAGGGUGCAAGUGCCCAGGAAUUUAUCCAUUUCUUCCAGGUUUACUAGUUUAUGUGCAUAGAGUUGUUUGUAAUAAUCUUUAAUGAUGGUUUGUAUUUCUGUGGAAUCUGUGGUAAUAUCCCUUUAUCAUUUUUUGUUGUAUCUGUUUGGUUAUUCCCUAUUUUCUUUUUUAUUAAUCUGGCUAGUGGUCUGUCUGUUUUGUUGAUCUUUUCAAAAAACCAGCUCCUGGAUUUAUUGAUUUUUUGAAGGUUUUUUUAUGUCUCUGUCUCCUUCAGUUCUGCUCUGAUCUUAGUUAUUUCUUGUUUUCUGCUAGCUUUUGAGUUUUUUGAUCUUGCUCCUCCAGCUCUUUCAAUUUUGAUGAUAGGGUAUUGAUUUUAGAUCUUUCCUUGCUUCUCAUGUGGUCAUUUAUUGCUAUAUAUUUUCCUCUAGGCACUGCUUUUACUGUGUCCCAGAGAUUCUGGUAUGUUGUGUCUUUGUUCUCGUUGAUUUAGAAGUACUUCUUUAUUUCUGCCUUCAUUUCAUUGUUUAUGCAGUCAACAUUCAAGAGCCAGUUGUUCAGUUUCCAUGAAGUUGUAUGGUUCUCAGUUAGUUUCUGAAUUCUGAGUUCUAACUUGGUUGCACUGCCGUGUGAGAGACUGAUUGUUAUGAUUUCCGUUCUUCUGCAUUUGCUGAGGAGUGAUUUCCUUCCAAUUAUGUGGACAAUUUUAGAGAAGGUGUGAUGUGAUGCUGAGACGAAUGUAUAUUCUGUGGAUUUGGGGUGGAGAUUUCUGUAAAUGCCUAUUAGGUUUGCUUGGUCCAGGUCUGAGUUCAAGUCCUGGAUAUCCUUGUUAAUUUUCUGUCUCAUUGAUCUGUCUAAUAUUGACAGUGGGAUGUUAAAAUCUCCCACUAUUAUUGUGUGGGAGUCUAAGUCUCUUUGUAAGUCAUUAAGAACUUGCCUUAUGUAUCUGGGUGCUCCUGUAUUGGGUGCAUAUAUAUUUAGGAUCGUUAGCUCUUCUUGAUACAUCAUUCCUUUUACCAUUAUGUAAUGUCCUUCUUUGUCUCUUUUGAUCUUUGUUGGUUUAAAGUCUAAUUUAUCAGAGAUGAGAAUUGCAACUACUGUUUUUUCUUGCUCUCCAUUUGCUUGCUAAAUCUUCUUCCAUCCCUUUAUUUUGAGCCUUUGUGUAUCCUUGCAUGUGAGAUGGGUUUCCUGGAUACAGCACACCGAUGGGUUUUGAAUUUUUAUCCAAUUUGCCAGUCUGUGUUUUUUGACUGGGGCAUUUAGCCCAUUUACAUUUAGGGUUAAUAUUGUUAUGUGUGAAUCUGAUCAUGCCAUUUUGAUGCUAGCUGGCUCUUUUGCCCGUUAGUUGAUGCAGUUUCUUCAUUGUGUCGAUGCUCUUUACCAUUUGGUACGUUUUUGGAGUGGCUGGUACUGGUUGUUCCUUUCUAUGUUUAGUGCUUCUUUCAGGAGCUCUUGUAAAGCAGGCCUGGUGGUGAUGAAAUCUCUGAGUAAUUGUUUGUUCAUAAAGGACUUUAUUUCUCCUGCACUUACGAAGCUUAGUUUGGCAGGAUACAAAAUCCACAUGCAAAAAUCACAAGCAUUCCUUUACACCAAUAACAGACUUAAAGAGAGUUAAAUCAAGAACAAACUGCCAUUCACAACUGCUACAAAGAGAAUAAAAUACUUGGGUAUAAAACUAACAAGGAAUGUAAAGGACCUCUUCCAGGAGGACUACAAACCACUGCUGAACAAAAUACGAAAGGACACAAACAGAUGGAGAAACAUUCCAUGCUCGUGGUUAG